rnacentral:rRNA from 1 species
UACGUAGGGUCCAAGCGUUGUCCGGAUUUAUUGGGCGUAAAGAGCUCGUAGGCGGUUCGGUAAGUCGGAUGUGAAAACUCAGGGCUCAACCCGGAGACGCCAUCCGAUACUGCUGUGACUGGAGUCCGGUAGGGGAUCACGGAAUACCUGGUGUAGCGGUGAAAUGCGCAGAUAUCAGGUGGAACACCGAUGGCGAAGGCAGUGAUCUGGGCCAGUACUGACGCUGAGGAGCGAAAGCGUGGGGAGCAAACAGG